AAUGGGCGCAAGCCUGAUGGAGCAACACCGGGUGAGUGAAGAAGGGUUUCGGCUCGUAAAGCUCUGUUGUUAAAGAAGAACACGUAUGAGAGUAACUGUUCAUACGUUGACGGUAUUUAACCAGAAAGUCACGGCUAACUACGUGCCAGCAGCCGCGGUAAUACGUAGGUGGCAAGCGUUAUCCGGAUUUAUUGGGCGUAAAGAGAGUGCAGGCGGUUUUCUAAGUCUGAUGUGAAAGCCUUCGGCUUAACCGGAGAAGUGCAUCGGAAACUGGAUAACUUGAGUGCAGAAGAGGGUAGUGGAACUCCAUGUGUAGCGGUGGAAUGCGUAGAUAUAUGGAAGAACACCAGUGGCGAAGGCGGCUACCUGGUCUGCAACUGACGCUGAGACUCGAAAGCAUGGGUAGCGAACAGGAUUAGAUACCCUGGUAGUCCAUGCCGUAAACGAUGAGUGCUAGGUGUUGGAGGGUUUCCGCCCUUCAGUGCCGGAGCUAACGCAUUAAGCACUCCGCCUGGGGAGUACGACCGCAAGGUUGAAACUCAAAGGAAUUGACGGGGGCCCGCACAAGCGGUGGAGCAUGUGGUUUAAUUCGAAGCUACGCGAAGAACCUUACCAGGUCUUGACAUCUUGCGCCAACCCUAGAGAUAGGGCGUUUCCUUCGGGAACGCAAUGACAGGUGGUGCAUGGUCGUCGUCAGCUCGUGUCGUGAGAUGUUGGGUUAAGUCCCGCAACGAGCGCAACCCUUGUUACUAGUUGCCAGCAUUAAGUUGGGCACUCUAGUGAGACUGCCGGUGACAAACCGGAGGAAGGUGGGGACGACGUCAGAUCAUCAUGCCCCUUAUGACCUGGGCUACACACGUGCUACAAUGGACGGUACAACGAGUCGCGAACUCGCGAGGGCAAGCAAAUCUCUUAAAACCGUUCUCAGUUCGGACUGCAGGCUGCAACUCGCCUGCACGAAGUCGGAAUCGCUAGUAAUCGCGGAUCAGCAUGCCGCGGUGAAUACGUUCCCGGGCCUUGUACACACCGCCCGUCACACCAUGAGAGUUUGUAACACCCAAAGUCGGUGGGGUAACCUUUUAGGAGCCA
rnacentral:rRNA from 1 species